AAUAAGCUCUUGCAUGGCGCCCGGCCCAGAAAGGUACAAUAACUGUAUAUUUUAACUUAAUGGUUUUUUUGGGGGGCAUGCAAAUUUCAGCGAGCAGAUUGCGCUGAGGCCCGGCUUGGAGCGGCCUCCCCGGGCCCCGCGGCCCCUUUCCCCAGAACCCCCCCCCCGAGCACCCCCCGGCUGGGUGAAGGUUGCCCGUGUCAAAAUCGAGAUAUCAAACACCAAGUGUAAAAAGACAAGGU
rnacentral:lncRNA from 1 species